AGGCCACAAUUUUUUAAUGUUAGUUGAUUAGUGAUACAUUUCAGCUGAUUAGUGACACAUGCCACUUCAUUUCAGAGAAUAUUGGAUGGAAUGAGGCCCUUGGUCAUGCCUAACCGCACUAACUAGAACAGCCAUUUUAAAAUGAAAGGAAAUUCAAUCCAUUAGGAAUGCACGCUACUCUUUGAAAUGUAUAUGAGAUAAAUUCAAGGUAGCUGAUGUAGCGGCAUGUUCUCAGUAUAUUAAAGGACAAGUGUGAUUUGGCUAGGAAAGGAAUACAUAUCACCCAAAAAUGGAUGAAGGAACUGUGCAUCCUCUUUGAAGGAACAGCUUCUGUGACAUCACCAUUUGGCACACUUGUUGGAAACUCAACAGAUACAUCGAUAUAAGAACAAACCUGGAUGUGAAAGGACAUUAACACUUGGACCAGAGAAGACUGACUCAUGGUCAAGCCAGAGCCGAUCUUUUCUUCUUAUACAAAGGAGACAAUGCAAUUUGGAAGUCAGCGUGAAGGAUUCUGUGGCCAUAGAGGCACAAAUCAUCAUAUAGCCUUGAUGAUAAUGACAUUCUUCAUCCACCCCUUCCAUUUAUUAUUGACUAGAAUACUAUUAUCUUUGGCUUCUUUUGUGUUAUUUAAUAUGUUGUGAUACUGUACUCAUUUUAAUGGACUCACUUUAAUCACUCCAUUUCCAAUAGUAACAAAAACAUUUCAUACAGGUACUUCUUGCUUCCACUAGGUGACAUAUAUCAGAAAACAGGCAAAAGAAGAAAUCAUUGAAUUACAGAUUAUGUUUCAGAUGUCUGCAUGGCGAUUGUUUAGAAUGCAAUGCAUGGUGUCAGAGAAACGUUGUAGAUAAGAGUGGUAAGGUCCAAAGUGAAUCAAUCAAAAAGAAAACAAACAACUACUAAAUUCAUAAUGUUACUGAACUAUUAGUAGUAUUUCACAAUUAUAGAGAGAAAGGAAGAAAAUAAUUUGAUGGAGAGAAAAACUAACAUUAGUUAUAAACCUGUAUGCCAGACACUUCAAAGUAUCCCAUCAAAUCACAAGAAGUGCUAUUAUUUCCCUAUUUUAUAAGUGUGGAUGCUGAAACUAAGAGUUUGUGAUAUCAUGUCCAAGGUCAUUUAAA